UGUUUUAAAUGAGCUUACCAACGUGUGUAUGAGGAGAUAGCAGGUCCCUCUCUACCCUGGAGGAGACGACAGCACACAGUCGAGCAGAGGAAUGAUUAUUAUUACUAACAAACAUGGAGAGAGAAAUACUGACAAAAUGCUUACGUUUCAGUCAAAUUGGGAACAGCUUGAGCAAUAGCUAGCUUUACAAGGGUGGACAAAUUAAUGGAGUUUGAAGGCUACAGUAUAUAACUCGGAGUUUGUUGGUCCUCAGUGGUGGCACUCCCAGUCAACACCACCGCAUAAGAUUUCCUGCUGCAGUUGCUUGAGAGAUGUCCAGUUUGCAGCCGAACAUGCAGCAUAGAGAAAACCAUCAAGGAGGCCCUCAUCAGCCUCAUGCAGACAUGCCCUCACUACCAGUAUCUUUGAUAAGGGGCCAGAAGCUGAUCUACGCUGAUAUGCCCAUCAACAUGGCUCUGGCAAAGACCUCACCUCCAGUCUCACCUCUUGCCUGCUCAGCAACAGUUGACGAUGGGGGAGAUCAGAAUUAGAAAUGUAUGGAGCCAGCACAUGAAAACUUGCAAGAUGAUGUGAUGAAGUCCAGACUAAAAGACGGGCGUGAUGCUAAUGUCUCUGAAUGGACAUUUGUACUUGCAUUGUAUUUUAUUGUGAACUGAAUGAUGUCAGUCAAUAUGGGGAAGGAAAAACUGUGCAUUCUCCUCCAGGAUCAGGGAACUCAUGUUGCAUAUGGGAUACCACACAGGAAAGCAUGACCACGUUUGCCAAGGUAGACCUAUUACCACCAGACAAAAUGCAGAUAGGCACAAUAUAUGUAUUGGCUGGGAAUGACAAUGAAAGAUGAAAUGUACAGCCUGUUAUAUUAGCAGGACACUGCUUCUAUGGUACUAUGUCAAGUUUUUAUUUUUUAUUUUACAUGGACCUGUAAAAUAUCUUGUCACUUGGUAUUUAUGACUCGUGUUACAUACGAAAGGGUCCGUAAGUAAAGCAUUUCACUGUUAUUCUAAACCUGUUGAAGAUGCAUGUGAUAAAUACAAUUACAACAUUUA